GAAAUGCGAUAAGUAAUGUGAAUUGCAGAAUUCAGUGAAUCAUCGAAUCUUUGAACGCACAUUGCGCCCGCCAGUAUUCUGGCGGGCAUGCCUGUCCGAGCGUCAUUUCAACCAUCAAGCCCCCGGGCUUGUGUUGGGGACCUGCGGCUGCCCGCAGGCCCUGAAAACCAGUGGCGGGCUCGCUGUCACACCGAGCGUAGUAGCAAUCACCUCGCUCAGGGCGUGCUGCGGGUUCCGACCGUCAAACAGCCUUACAAAACCCAAGGUUGACCUCGGAUCAGGUAGGAAGACCCGCUGAACUUAAGC
rnacentral:misc_RNA from 1 species